UACGAGGGGGGCAACUGUUGUUCGGAAUCACUGGGCGUAAAGGGAGCGUAGGCGGGCUUCUAAGUUAGAUGUUUAAUCCCGGGGCCCAACCCCGGACAGGCACCUAAAACUGGAAGUCUUGAAUAGUGGAGAGGACGGCGGAAUUGGGGGUGUAGCGGUGGAAUGCGUAGAGAUCCCCAAGAACACCAGUUGCGAAGGCGGCCGUCUGGACACAUAUUGACGCUGAGGCUCGAAAGCAUGGGGAGCAAACAGG
rnacentral:rRNA from 1 species